rfam:Aedes albopictus isolate Foshan contig101046, whole genome shotgun sequence.
UAGCCUAGUGGUUAAGGCUUUGGAUCACCAAUCCGGAGACGACGGGUUCGAUUCCCGU